rnacentral:lncRNA from 1 species
AUGGCCCAAGUGCUUGGGCCCUGCACCUGCAUGGGAGACCAGGAGAAGCACCUGGCUCCUGGCUUUGGAUCAGCGCGGCGGCCACUGGAGGGUGAACCAACGGCAAAAGGAAGACCUUUCUCUCUGUCUCUCUCUCUCACUGUCCACUCUGCCUGUCAAAAAAAAAAAAAGUUAAUGUAUUUGAAACUCAGAGCGACCGAGGGGAAGCAGGCGAGACAGACUCUCAUCCACUGGUGCACUCCCCAGAUGCCUGCAGGGGCCAGGGCAGGGCCGGAGGGAAGCGGGAAGGCAGCAACUCCACAAGGGUCGCCCACACGGGUCGCCCACAGGGGUCCAGCGCUUGCACCCAUCUCCCAGGGAGCGCGCUGGCCGGGAACCUGGAUCCCGGCCCCUGCGGCGGGGAUGCGGGUGUCCCACGCAGGGCCCUCGCGGCUGGCUGGGCCACAGUGCCCCUCCACGGGUGCCUUUAAGGAACCGCCUCUGCCUUUGUCCUCCGAAGUCAGAAACCCUGUUACUGCAUUUGGGAGCCCCCUCGUCCUGGAAACCCGAAUUACAGGAGCACAAGUGCCCUUGAAUGGCUGGCCUGUCCAGGCCGACUGUGGGCGCGGAGGGAGGGCUGGGCACCUCCGGCCAACUCUCGCCGCACCACCCCCGAGCCUGCUUUGUUUCCUUUUGUUAAUAGAAGGAAAUUACAAUUAUUUGUGCUUCCCAUUUUUAAAGUUCUGUAACUUUAGUGGUGACUUCAUUUUAUCUCAUAGUUGA